rnacentral:misc_RNA from 1 species
GGGUGGAGAAUGCCGGGAGCGGAGGGGAGUCGUCCCGAACCGUGAGCCCGCGGGUGCGGCAGCGCUUCGGCCGGUCAUCCUCACAAUGGGGAAGGCAGGUACGGGCCCCAGAGACCCGCCGGUUAGCAAGACCCGGCGUCCCGAGGCGUGUUGCGCCUCAUUACAAAAUACCAGAGACGCAAUGCGCCUCGGGACACCGUCUGCCUCUCGCUGCUGACACGCGUUGGCAGCACUCUGCGUCAUAAUAAAGUUAAGUUGGCACUUAACGAUCAGCGGACAUGUCGAUUCCGGCUCAGCUCGAUCGUC